ACAACUUGUUAUCGUCUUGCCAUUCAAAAAUUUAUCAACCAGUUGUGAGUGACAACCUUUGUAUUUAGAUCUCUAUAUCCAGACUAUAUCAUACCUCAUAAUUGCCAGGGCCUGGCACUUCGCUCUUCUGUGAUCUGAAGCGAAUAUCUUUGGUAACCAUGAGCCCGCCAUGUUGUGUUUUCGUCGAGGGCAUAUCAUAUUCGCCUGGGCCCGGGGUUUUGCCACGCUUCGUCGGAUCUAUACUGUCUUUAAAUCUUGUGGAGGAAGACAAGAAUGCUCCUCGUCUCUGAGAAUUUUUGUUCUUUUUCUGAGAAUAUGGAUACAGUACCCGGCCUAGUGUUU
rnacentral:lncRNA from 1 species